rnacentral:rRNA from 1 species
CCUACGGGAGGCAGCAGUGGGGAAUAUUGGGCAAUGGAGGCAACUCUGACCCAGCAACGCCGCGUGAAUGAUGAAGGUCUUCGGAUUGUAAAGUUCUGUGAUGGGGGAGGAACACAAUGACGGUACCCCAAUAGCAAGCAACGGCUAACUACGGGCCAGCAGCCGCGGUAAUACGUAGGUGGCAAGCGUUAUCCGGAAUGACUGGGCGUAAAGGGUGCGUAGGGGGUUUAGUAAGUUGGCGGUGUAAUUCCGGGGCUCAACCGCGGCGCUACCGCCCAAACUAUUAGACUAGCGUGCAGGGGGUGUAAGUGGCAUUCCUCGUGUAGCGGUGUAAUGCGUAGAUAUUAGGAGGACCAUCAGGGUCGAAGGCGACUUCCUGGACUGUACCUGACACUGAGGCACGAAAGCGUGGGGAGCAAACAGGAUUAGAUACCCCAGUAGUC